UUUUUUAGCUCUCAUCCUAUUGCAAAUACAUUUCCUGGGUUCUGGGGGUUUUUUUGGUAUAGAUCACGUAAAGGUGAUAUUUUUGUCGUGGGAUCAACAGGAAGGACACCCAGGACACUCAGCGUCUCCAAGGAUGCCGUGAGCAGGAAGUGGAUGUGGCAGGAAAACAGAUUUAUGGUCAGCCAGACAAACCCUAAUCGUUAAUGCCACAAAGUAACAGCAGAAGCCAACGUGUUUUGAAGGAUCGAAUUGCUUCAGUGGCAAAGAGGACAGACACCCCCACCACCACCUCCAAAAUUCAGCCUGGUUGGGGAAAACACAAGAUGCUGAUUAGAGCUGCUCCAGUGACUGCCUGGUUUAUAUUCCACAAAGAUUUAUUCUG